AGAGUUUGAUCCUGGCUCAGAUUGAACGCUGGCGGCAGGCCUAACACAUGCAAGUCGAGCGGUAGCACAGAGAGCUUGCUCUCGGGUGACGAGCGGCGGACGGGUGAGUAAUGUCUGGGAAACUGCCUGAUGGAGGGGGAUAACUACUGGAAACGGUAGCUAAUACCGCAUAACGUCGCAAGACCAAAGUGGGGGACCUUCGGGCCUCAUGCCAUCAGAUGUGCCCAGAUGGGAUUAGCUGGUAGGUGGGGUAACGGCUCACCUAGGCGACGAUCCCUAGCUGGUCUGAGAGGAUGACCAGCCACACUGGAACUGAGACACGGUCCAGACUCCUACGGGAGGCAGCAGUGGGGAAUAUUGCACAAUGGGCGCAAGCCUGAUGCAGCCAUGCCGCGUGUGUGAAGAAGGCCUUCGGGUUGUAAAGCACUUUCAGCGGGGAGGAAGGCGAUAAGGUUAAUAACCUUGUCGAUUGACGUUACCCGCAGAAGAAGCACCGGCUAACUCCGUGCCAGCAGCCGCGGUAAUACGGAGGGUGCAAGCGUUAAUCGGAAUUACUGGGCGUAAAGCGCACGCAGGCGGUCUGUCAAGUCGGAUGUGAAAUCCCCGGGCUCAACCUGGGAACUGCAUUCGAAACUGGCAGGCUAGAGUCUUGUAGAGGGGGGUAGAAUUCCAGGUGUAGCGGUGAAAUGCGUAGAGAUCUGGAGGAAUACCGGUGGCGAAGGCGGCCCCCUGGACAAAGACUGACGCUCAGGUGCGAAAGCGUGGGGAGCAAACAGGAUUAGAUACCCUGGUAGUCCACGCUGUAAACGAUGUCGAUUUGGAGGUUGUGCCCUUGAGGCGUGGCUUCCGGAGCUAACGCGUUAAAUCGACCGCCUGGGGAGUACGGCCGCAAGGUUAAAACUCAAAUGAAUUGACGGGGGCCCGCACAAGCGGUGGAGCAUGUGGUUUAAUUCGAUGCAACGCGAAGAACCUUACCUGGUCUUGACAUCCACAGAACUUAGCAGAGAUGCUUUGGUGCCUUCGGGAACUGUGAGACAGGUGCUGCAUGGCUGUCGUCAGCUCGUGUUGUGAAAUGUUGGGUUAAGUCCCGCAACGAGCGCAACCCUUAUCCUUUGUUGCCAGCGGUUAGGCCGGGAACUCAAAGGAGACUGCCAGUGAUAAACUGGAGGAAGGUGGGGAUGACGUCAAGUCAUCAUGGCCCUUACGACCAGGGCUACACACGUGCUACAAUGGCAUAUACAAAGAGAAGCGACCUCGCGAGAGCAAGCGGACCUCAUAAAGUAUGUCGUAGUCCGGAUUGGAGUCUGCAACUCGACUCCAUGAAGUCGGAAUCGCUAGUAAUCGUAGAUCAGAAUGCUACGGUGAAUACGUUCCCGGGCCUUGUACACACCGCCCGUCACACCAUGGGAGUGGGUUGCAAAAGAAGUAGGUAGCUUAACCUUCGGGAGGGCGCUUACCACUUUGUGAUUCAUGACUGGGGUGAAGUCGUAACAAGGUAACC
rnacentral:rRNA from 1 species